rnacentral:tRNA from 1 species
GGUAGAAUGACCGAAAUUAAGUGAUAGACUGUAAAUCUAUUUAUGAGGAAAAUUCCUCUUCUACCA